GCCAUCAGCCAUCUCACCCUGCAGCCCAAGACCGGUUUCUCACUGAAGCUAAGCAGGGCUGAGCCUGGUCAGUACCUAAAUGGGAGACCACAUUGGAAAUACUAGGUUGCUGUUGGAA
ensembl:rRNA 5S_rRNA 5S ribosomal RNA